GCCGCGGUAGAUCAGCCAGGGAGAUCGCACGGCUGAAGACCGUGUUGUCGUGUGUUCAAAUCACGCCCGCGGCACCA
rnacentral:tRNA from 1 species